rnacentral:rRNA from 1 species
AACGAACGCUGGCGGCAGGCUUAACACAUGCAAGUCGAACGCGUGUAGCAAUACACGAGUGGCGCACGGGUGAGUAACACGUGGAUAUCUGCCUUUUGGUUCGGAAUAACUCCGGGAAACUGGAGCUAAUACCGGAUGGUUCCUACGGGAUAAAGAUUUAUCACCAAAAGAUGAGUCCGCGCACGAUUAGCUAGUUGGUGAGGUAAUGGCUCACCAAGGCGACGAUCGUUAGCUGGUCUGAGAGGACGAUCAGCCACACUGGGACUGAGACACGGCCCAGACUCCUACGGGAGGCAGCAGUGGGGAAUAUUGGACAAUGGGGGCAACCCUGAUCCAGCCAUGCCGCGUGAGUGAUGAAGGCCUUCGGGUUGUAAGGCUCUUUUGGCGGGGACGAUGAUGACGGUACCCGCAGAAUAAGCCCCGGCUAACUUCGUGCCAGCAGCCGCAGUAACAC